CCGGUUUCCAAGCCCCGGCUUCCAGCCCCCCGGCUCCAGGUCGCCGCUUGCUCGCGGCGCCGCCGGCUCCCGGCCCCUCCCGUUACCGGAGGAGGCUCGGAGCCUCCUCAGCUCCGGAACCCCCGGUUUCCAACCGCGCCCACCCCCGGCACCGGGGAUCCCCCGGCUUCCAGGCUCCUGUCCCGGGCCGCCCCACCGCUGCCCCGCUCCCUCUGCUGUAUCCUGGGUGUCCCCGAGCAGCUCCAGCCCAGGGCUGAGGUUCUGUGUCCCCUACCCCGGUCACUGCACCCAUCGAAACGGCCUGGAGGGGUUUUCCGUAAUUCCCGUGGCAGUUUACUGGUUUACCACCACAGGGACUAUGCGGGAAAGGAAGUUCUUUUUAUCAAACUGUGUCCCACUGUGUAUAAAUGGAGGAACAAACUUUCUCACGUGUCUUAGGUGUGCACGGGAAAGUUUUGUAUCCAGAGCAGUGCUCGAAAGACAAAAGGAGAAACACGGUUACAAGCAAGACGGGCAGAAACACUGGAAACGGGCAGCUUUGCAAAAGGAAGUUUUCUGAAAUCACCAUCUUAGAGCGAACUAGGGUUGGUGCCUGGAAUGCUCAUGGCUUCAGCAUGAGGACUGUUCUGUUUGCCUGUUAAUUAUGAAGGAAUUCCUGCACUGGAGAGAAGGAAUGGAAGGAACAGUGCUUUGAACACACUCAAGAAUAUUCUCAGUGAACAAAUAAACAGUAAUGGGAAUUCUUUGGGAUGAUGCUGUUAUGGAUCAUGGAGAAUAUAUGUUAGUUAGAGUGUGACCCUCCUAACAUGCUUGAUUUUUUUCCUCUU